UGCUUUAUCAAUUCCCAAAAUCUUUAUAACUAGUCACUGCUCUCUCUCUCUCUGUAUCCCUGAUCUUUCUUCUUCUUUCUUGUUUUUGCUUUUGUUGUUUUGGAUUUGUGUUGCAGAGAUGAAUGAUCCCAAUCCCAAGUAUACUUCUCCCAAUCCUGCUCAAGGCAGAUAAUGAGUUGCGUCUUGUACCUGGUGAUGAGUUGCGGCUAUGCUAUUUAGGAGAUGCAGCUCAUGCGGCAGUCAGUAGGGCAUGUGCCUCAGGUGCGAAGAACAAGGGGAUGGAUAAUUACAAACAGGGGAAGUAUGCUGAUGCCAUAAAGUGGCUUUCUUGGGCUGUGAUUCUUCUUGAGAAGUCUUGUGAUGGUGCUAACCCUUGUAAGUUUAUUUGUGAUUGGAAGUCAACUUGUCUGUAACCCUUUUGAGUGAAGUGUGGUUUUGAAUGGUACGAAAGACAGACUUAUGUCUCUGCUCUGCUCGUUAAUGUUCUUCUUACCUUUGAGUGGAGAAGAACUAGAAUGAUAUUUUUUUUCUUUGAUGAUAUUAUUAUAAUGGACGCUUGAUGUUUUCAAUUAAAUAAACUUAUUUAUGUGCACAUGUUUGUAAGUCUGACUAUGUUAUCCUUUGUUAUAUUUACCGCUUUGUCUUUCGAGCAAUUAAUCCAAUGGCUAUAAUGCAAAAUCAUGAUUUAUAGACCAUUCAUGAAACAUUCAGUAAAACCUCUUCAACACGGCUUAUAAUGUUAUUAGAGGAUUCACAUAACCUACAUCCAGUAGAUGUGAUUUGAAGUCAUAUUGAGUGGAUUUUCAUAUGGGCUGUGCUUGUAUGUUUGUUAGGUAGACUGCUAAUGUAAAUGCUGUCCCUAUAACUCAUGAACAUGCAUUCUGAAAUUUAUGGCAAAGAAGGGUUCAUUGAUUUGUGUAGAAAAGCUAUGUAAUUGGGGUUUAAGGCUUGUGUUGGAUGCCCACUACAUGCAUUAGUUUCUGAAAUAAUUAAUGGGUCAGGACAUUUUUAAAUCCUGCCCCUACUGUGUGCCUCUAGUCUUCGAAUAAAUUACUGAGUGAUGAUUUAAAAAUGGUCUCUGAUAUUCAGUUUAAUUAAGCAAUCUUAAUAAAAUUUGAAGCUUAAACAGAUUGACCAAAAACGUACAUUGGAUUUGCCCCCCUUUUCAUUUUUGGUUCAUGAAUAAUACUCAUGAUGUUGGCUAUGCUUUCAUGUGUUAUAUCUAUUCAUGUAUCUCCUUUUGAUGGCUAUAUUUAAAAUUUGUUAAUUGCUCUUUGGUAGCCUUCAAUUGUACAAUCAUAAUUUACCCAAAUUCAUACAAUUUUUUAUGCUAAAAUUGUUUGUAUGAAGUGUACUAUUCUUUGGUCUAAUUUUUCUCCACCAUUGUGUUGUAAGAUCAAAUCAACUUGGCUGAUGUCAAGUACCCAUUGGAGCAUUUUAAGGUAGGUUAAAACCUGUUCAUUUAUUUGAUACACAUAGAAUUUUAAACAGAAUGACAUUUGGUUUCUUUUUGGGUAUCAGGGAGCCCUUUGUUUAAAGGAGUUCCUCUUUUUUUAAUUGCAGCAGAUUGGGGGGUAGAUUGUGAUAUGUAGUGCUUUGUUUUGGUUUUGAAUUUUUUUCGUUUUGUUUUUUCACUUGUACCCUUUUUCUGAGGAUGCCUCAUCGUCCUAUCUUUGGCUCUGUGCCUUAAUAAAAUUCUAAAAAAAAAUUAAAAAAAAUAAAAGAAUUUUCAUUCGUGGGCCUUUGUUAAGAGUGAACUUUAUUACUUUGACACAUUGCCAUCACUUGAAUUUGUAAAGAGAUGUUUGUCAAUAUGUUGAGUGAAUUAUAGUUUUUAUGUCAUAAUAUUUGGUUACAUCUCAUUAUUCAACUAGGUAAAGCUUUGGACUGCUGGAAACAUAUUUUUCAGAGAGAUCUGUGUUCUCAAGCCCUUUGCAUAUACAUAAGUCAACUUCACUUAUUGGUUACAGUUAGAAUGUAAAAUGAAGGAAUUUAGGGUUGGGAUUUAGGAGGAAGAAGAAGAAGAUUAAGAAGAAAGAGAAAUUUUAUAUAUAUAUUGGCGCUGUUUGGGAAGUUGGAGGAUCCAACUGAGAACAGGAGGGGAGAGAAUCGGCAACUCGGAUUCACGAUGGGAGAGAACCAGCAGAAUCACAGGGUUCCAGAGUCAGCUACGAAUGCCAAUGCCAAUGGGCAUGCCAUCACGAAGACAAAUAUGAUGGAUUUGAAUAUGCAGCCACAUUAGAUACAUGAACAGGCUUCAAAUAAUCAGAACAUCCUUGUUGUCUCAAAGUAUUACUGAAGGAUUACCUUGGCGAGACUUGUUGAGCUGCUUUGUCUCAUUGUUUAGGUGACUUCAAAAAACAAUCAAGCACAAGGCUGAUGCUUCAAAACCAUAUAUAUUCCUUCAUGUUUUAGAAUUUUUUUUGGAUUCCUUCAUUGAUUUUGCUUUUAAUUUUUGUUCAAUUACUUAAUGGUUUUCAAUGGAUGGAUGUUUAAAAUUUGUCUCAAUUAAUGUUUUAAAUGGAAUGAUUGUAAA